GAGGCAUGGCCGCCGGAUCAGGUGCGGCCCGACCACCGGCUAAUCAGCUGCCCUUCCGCGAUGGCAACGCCCGGUACCAUCGCCCUCGACGGCGAGCCCGCCCAGCUAGGAGUGGCCUCCAGAUCAGGUGCGACUCGGUCGUUGGAGAAAGUAAUGUUAUUUGAUACAGGUUUACUCACCGCCACAGACCCAUACUCGCCCCUAAGAGCAGGAAGUGACUUGUUACGAGGCAAACACUUGAGACCUAUCACUGCAAAUAGUGCAAGCAGUGUACCAGCAGAUAUAAUCUUCAAGGCGUCAUUUCUGGAAUCAUGGAUAGCGUCGCAACACUUCCUUGGGCGAGUUUUUCAAGAGAUUUCUCAAGAUCAUCACUUGGGGUAUCCUUGCCUUACAUGUCUAGCUGUUCUAUCAAUGGGAAAACCUUACUGAAAGCUUGAAGAGCACUUGAUUUUACAGUACCAAGCGCAUCAGCCACGACCCCUUGAUUUCUAGCUGUUCUAUCAAUGGGCAAACACUUGAUUUCUGAAGAGCACUCGAUCUGUGGGGCAUGGCACAUUGGAGCACAACAUUGAAAUGCUUUGAAACAAUGAUGGUCCUUCAGAAAUAACUAGCAGUGUUGGGGCCUGUUUGUCUACAGUUCCAUGUUGUCUUGGGGCUUGUUUGGAUCAGCCACGGCCUAACAAUUAGCCCUUGGUAUCCAAACAUGUCCUUAGUCAAAAGAAAUAACUACCAGUGUGUUAUGAAUCAUAUGCAAAAUGAAUACCGAUGGUAUUAAAGAGUUAUCCCUGGACCUUUCAUUUGCAGCAAUCAAGUUUUCAGGAACACUAUAAGUUACAACUGAUGGUGUUCCGUUCUAUAUCUUUCUUCAGGUCUUAAGCAAAAAAACAAAUGCCUUAAUUUCUUUUGUUGAUUUAACCCUUUUGUUCCAAAAC
rnacentral:misc_RNA from 1 species